AAGUAAAAAGCCAUCAGGACAAGACCAAACGUCAGAAUUGCCCCAAAGAUUUGAAACUGGAACAGAACCCACAGAGGAGAAGAUUUAAGUGGUCACCAAGACAUUGAUGCACCAGCUGAUGGAUGACUGCAGGUGCAGCACUGAAAGUGAGGAAUAACUGUUCAAGGUCUGCUGGACAACCUGAGCAACCUGAUCUACUUGAGGAUAUCCCUUCUCUCUGCAGGGUUGUUGGAUUAGAUGACAUUUAAAAGGUCUCUUUAAACUCAAAUGGAGUGCAGUGAGAAGGACCAAAACUUGCUAAAAUUAUUCACAUUGAAACCCCAAAAUCAGGGAAGAAAGGUAAACAAAGAGACAGGAGAAUAAAUUGAAGGAACUGCUAAAAAACAAAAGAGAAAAUUCUGAACCUAAGUGAAAACAAUAAAAGCCAAUGGGAUGACAUGAGAUGCAGGGAAUUGGACCAAAUCUUGCCCAAUUGAUCCUCAUUGAAAUGGCAAUAUUUCAUUCCCUUCCUGAAAGGAAGAACUUCCUGAAAUUUCACGAAAUCUUGAAAUCAGAGAAUCAAGUGGAACAAACAUGCUGGAAAGGAGAUAUGAUCAAAUAAAUUGCAAAUGGGGGGGGGAGGGGGGAAGAAAAUUUGGAAAUAGACUGGUGUUGGUUUAUGUGAAGACCAUGAUUUUAGUUCCAUUUUUUGGUUGAAUUUUUUUUGUGCCAACAUAUCAAUUGGGUUUUUCUCAGGUUUUGUGAUUAAUUUGACAUUGAUUAGCUUUAUUUUAUUACAGGACCAAUGGAUGUUCAACAAAAUUUCUACCAAAAUCAAAAUAGGGAAAUUUCUAACACAAGAUUAGCUGCGAGAUUAAGCCAAACAUUACUAUAAAAAGGAAGUUUGUGUUGUCAGGGGAGAAAAAACAGUUCAGAAAGUGUCAGAGGCAGAAAGACAUUUUGAGGUUUCUGAACACGUUCUGGUUUUGUCUUAAACCUCCCUUAAUUGAAACUACACAAAUCUCAUUUAUCCAUGUGCACAGUAUUCCCAUGUUGUUCUAGUGUGGUGAGUUAGUUUCAUUUCCCUUUUGCUGCGCAUUCAUUUUUUUUCCUGAAUGUAGAUUAAAAAAAAAAAAAAAAUAGCCUGGCUACCUGGUAGCUUCAGAUCUGCAGUCCAGCCACUCACAUACUAAAAAAAUUACAGCACCAGGCUCUUAAUGCUGCCCUGUACCAAGCAGGAAAAGACAAACAGCCACACAGGCAGAUCUAUCCCCCCAGUACUUAUCCUGGCUGGCUCCCCAUGGCAAUUUGUGGGAGCUGGAACCACCCACCAGCCUGUGAUAGGCAACAUGGACUUCAGAGCUGAGCUUCUGAGCUUCCAGGCAGGAGAAUCGAGUCUGGGGGUGGUCAUGAGGCUGUAGCCAUAAAUCUGAGCUCCCAAAAGGGCACAUGGGAAAACCAUACAGAAACCACUUGCCUCUAAAAAUUUCAGUUUCAGUUUCUAUGUGGAUAAAGCUUCUUGCUUUUAAUCUUCUCUGCUUUUCUCAAAAUCUACAGUGCUGACAUAGAUUUCAGGCAGUGAUUUGAAUAAAAUAAUCAUCUUUAAGCUAUCUA